rnacentral:rRNA from 1 species
ACGAACGCUGGCGGCGUGCUUCACACAUGCAAGUCGAACGGAAAGGCCCUGCUUUUGUGGGGUGCUCGAGUGGCGAACGGGUGAGUAACACGUGAGUAACCUGCCCUUGACUUUGGGAUAACUUCAGGAAACUGGGGCUAAUGCCGGAUAGGAGCUCCUGCUGCAUGGUGGGGGUUGGAAAGUUUCGGCGGUUGGGGCUGGACUCGCGGCUUAUCAGCUUGUUGGUGGGGUAGUGGCUUACCAAGGCUUUGACGGGUAGCCGGCCUGAGAGGGUGACCGGCCACAUUGGGACUGAGAUACGGCCCAGACUCCUACGGGAGGCAGCAGUGGGGAAUAUUGCACAAUGGGCGGAAGCCUGAUGCAGCAACGCCGCGUGCGGGAUGACGGCCUUCGGGUUGUAAACCGCUUUCGCCUGUGACGAAGCGUGAGUGACGGUAAUGGGUAAAGAAGCACCGGCUAACUACGUG